AAGUGCAAUAUUAAAACAAAAGUGGAGUCUUUUAAGCCCAUUGUGUAAAGACACACUGAGUUAUAACUCAGUGGCACUCCC